GACGAGCUCUCCAAACGUUAUUCGGUAUCACUGGGCUUAAAGAGUUCGUAGGCGGUCUGGUAGGUGAGGUGUGAAAUCCCCCGGCUCAACCGGGGAACUGCGCUUCAAACCACCGGACUUGAGGGAGACAGAGGUGGGCGGAACAGAUGGUGGAGCGGUGAAAUGCGUUGAUAUCAUCUGGAACACCGGUGGCGAAAGCGGCCCACUGGGUCUUUUCUGACGCUGAGGAACGAAAGCUAGGGGUAGCGAACGGG
rnacentral:rRNA from 1 species